rnacentral:rRNA from 1 species
GAUGAACGCUGGCGGCGUGCCUAAUACAUGCAAGUCGAGCGAACAGACGAGGAGCUUGCUCCUUUGACGUUAGCGGCGGACGGGUGAGUAACACGUGGGUAACCUACCUAUAAGACUGGGAUAACUUCGGGAAACCGGAGCUAAUACCGGAUAAUAUUUCGAACCGCAUGGUUCGAUAGUGAAAGAUGGCUUUGCUAUCACUUAUAGAUGGACCUGCGCCGUAUUAGCUAGUUGGUAAGGUAACGGCUUACCAAGGCAACGAUACGUAGCCGACCUGAGAGGGUGAUCGGCCACACUGGAACUGAGACACGGUCCAGACUCCUACGGGAGGCAGCAGUAGGGAAUCUUCCGCAAUGGGCGAAAGCCUGACGGAGCAACGCCGCGUGAGUGAUGAAGGUCUUCGGAUCGUAAAACUCUGUUAUUAGGGAAGAACAAACGUGUAAGUAACUGUGCACGUCUUGACGGUACCUAAUCAGAAAGCCACGGCGAACUACGU